rnacentral:rRNA from 1 species
UGGAUCCAGACUUUGAUUCUGGCUCAGGAUGAACGCUAGCUACAGGCUUAACACAUGCAAGUCGAGGGGAAACGACAUCGAAAGCUUGCUUUUGAUGGGCGUCGACCGGCGCACGGGUGAGUAACGCGUAUCCAACCUGCCCACCACUUGGGGAUAACCUUGCGAAAGUAAGACUAAUACCCAAUGAUAUCUCUAGAAGACAUCUGAAAGAGAUUAAAGAUUUAUCGGUGAUGGAUGGGGAUGCGUCUGAUUAGCUUGUUGGCGGGGUAACGGCCCACCAAGGCAACGAUCAGUAGGGGUUCUGAGAGGAAGGUCCCCCACAUUGGAACUGAGACACGGUCCAAACUCCUACGGGAGGCAGCAGUGAGGAAUAUCGGUCAAUGGACGAGAGUCUGAACCAGCCAAGUAGCGUGCAGGAUGACGGCCCUAUGGGUUGUAAACUGCUUUUAUAAGGGAAUAAAGUGAGUCUCGUGAGACUUUUUGCAUGUACCUUAUGAAUAAGGACCGGCUAAUUCCGUGCCAGCAGCCGCGGUAAUACGGAAGGUCCGGGCGUUAUCCGGAUUUAUUGGGUUUAAAGGGAGCGUAGGCCGGAGAUUAAGCGUGUUGUGAAAUGUAGACGCUCAACGUCUGCACUGCAGCGCGAACUGGUUUCCUUGAGUACGCACAAAGUGGGCGGAAUUCGUGGUGUAGCGGUGAAAUGCUUAGAUAUCACGAAGAACUCCGAUUGCGAAGGCAGCUCACUGGAGCGCAACUGACGCUGAAGCUCGAAAGUGCGGGUAUCGAACAGGAUUAGAUACCCUGGUAGUCCGCACGGUAAACGAUGGAUGCCCGCUGUUGGUCUGAAUAGGUCAGCGGCCAAGCGAAAGCAUUAAGCAUCCCACCUGGGGAGUACGCCGGCAACGGUGCAACUCAAAUGAAUUGACGGA